rnacentral:rRNA from 1 species
UACGUAGGGGGCAAGCGUUGUCCGGAUUCAUUGGGCGUAAAGAGCGUGUAGGCGGUCAGGUAGGUCGGUUGUGAAAACUGGAGGCUCAACCUUCAGAGGUCGACCGAAACCCCCUGGCUAGAGUCCGGGAGAGGAGAGUGGAAUUCCUGGUGUAGCGGUGAAAUGCGCAGAUAUCAGGAAGAACACCCGUGGCGAAAGCGGCUCUCUGGAGCGGUACUGACGCUGAGACGCGAAAGCGUGGGGAGCGAACAGG